AAACUGCCACCUCAUGGUUCCUAGUUGGAUUGUUUCUGCUGCGCCACAACUGGAACUCCAAUGGUUUCUUCUUUGUAAGAAAAAUAAAAAGAAUCACAUGAUAUAUGUAUGCAUGUAUGAAAAGGUAUGGAAGGACAAGCUGCCCACAGUAGGUACCACCUGGGGCAUGGAGAGUGAAGAGGGUAAGGGGAAGAAACUUCCUUUCCCUUAUGUCUUCGGAAUUCUUUUUUCCUCUAGAAGCAUGUGCCACCAUGUAAUUUUUUAUUCCAGUGAAAAAGUGUAAACAAGGUUAAUGAGCCACAGACUCAGGAUUGGAAUCCAAGCUGCUUUCUGAGCCCAGGCUCACCGGGUCAUGGAGAAGACAGCAUGCACACCUGCAGAGAAGAGGUGCAGCCCAGGGCGGCUAAGUGAGGACUGGUGGGAAGAGCAUCUCAGGAGUCUGGCGCUGGGAGUGACCCCCAAGCCGUGGGGCAGGUGGCAAAGGAGGAGAGGACAUUUCAGGAACUUGACCAAGCUAUGUGAUCCUUAUAAAACCUUAGACUAUUUGGGAGCCAGUAAGAAGAUGAAGUCUGACAGAUGUGACUUUGGAUUAGCUGCUGACCUAAUAAUUGGACUGUGAUGACUUUGUGGCGUUGCACCGUGGAUGGAUGUCCUGUGGUUUCCCAGUUGGGGCUGCUCUGAACGGUGCCGCUUUGAGGGCCCUCAUCCCUGUGCUCUCACAUCCUGCAGCAGCCAGCUUUUAAGGGCAAUAUCAUCGACCAUUGCUGAGGAAUUGAGAAGGCCCAGCUUGGAGUCCAGCUCGGAGUCCAGCUCAGAGGAGGUGGCAGAGGAAGAGACCUUGCCUUUGCCCUUGGGACAUACAUAGUCUAGCUGUGGCAAUGAGACCUUCAGGAAGUCAAGGUCAUCUGGAAGACAAAGGGAAGAUAUUAGGGAGGUGGGGUGAUGGUAGAGAAAAACUGGGGUACCCUAGCUUUGCUGUGUGACGUUGAGUCUCCGUAGCAUCUUGGCUCCUCAGCUUCCCUAAGAAACAAAGCCAAGGGUAUCUGCCCCUCCUCACCUCUGCCUUAGGCAUCCCUGGGGAAUGGGUGGGGACUGGGGAAAGGGAGAGAGAACCGGAAUGUGGGUCCGCUGUGGCAGUUUCUCUCUGGUCAUUUCAUGUUCAUUCUCAAGGACUAUUCAAAGCCAGGGAGUUGGUUCUUUCUCAUCCCAAGCAGAAAAUUUAAGCAAGAAUCGACCUUGCUGUGUGAGUGCCCAUAAUCAAAAAUCCAGUGGAUAAUCUAGCCUGUCUCUGGAAAGAUACACAAGACCUGGGAACAGUGCUUUUCUCUGGGGAGGAGAACAAGACAGCCGAGUGCAGGGGGUGGGAGGGACACCUGUUUUUCCCUGGAUCACACCUUUGCAUGACGUUUUAAUACCAUGUGAUUGUGAUAUCUAAUAAAAAAUAAAUAUACUUCCAACUUGAACAUGAUUAUAGCAGUUCCAGGAAUUGGCUCAAGGUUGGGGCAGAACCAGGGGCUGGCUUUGCAUUGGGUUUUCUCUCUUACUUUACUUAUUUAUUUAUUUAUUUUUGGCCUCGUCACAGCGUGUGGAAGUUCCCAGGCUGGGGAUUGAACCUGAGCAGUAACAGCGACAAUACCAGGUCCUU